CCCGGCCCCAGGGAGCCCUCCCGCCUAGCCUUGCUCGCCCGCCGCCCCCGACCCCCAACCCCUCCGACCGCCCCGGCUGCGGGCUGCUGCAAGCCGGUCUGGCGGGACGCGGGGGAGGUGUGCGGCGCGGCGCGGGGAGCGGCCAGGUCCUUUCAUGUAGAGGGCAUUUAUUGGGUCGCUGGUUGCAGCACUGCAGAAGGUUGCAAAGGAAGUGGAAGAUCGGCCUUUCCAAGAGUUGCAAGCAAGCUAGCAACACAGGCAUAUAUGUACAAGGAGCAGCUAGAAAAGAGCCUUCAGGUGUUGUGUAAGCAAAAAAGGCAGAGAAGGUUGUUGGUUCUUUUGUGUUUGAAUCAUUCCUUAGAGGGUCCUUGCGGUUAUGUUUGGUGGAGAUCAGGCAAGGAAACUUCAGGUCAGAUCAAGGCCAGAUCACCGAUCUGUAGCCCUACUCGUUGAAACAAUACAGCAGAUCCCUCGGUGACACUUGGCUAAAGUGUCAGCCUUUGCUGCUCACUGUUUUGACCUUGGGCAUACUUUGAACCUAGUGCAGCCACCUACCUCUUCAUGCUGCUGUGCGCUUCUAAUCCUCCAAAUGUUACAAUUUUCCAUGAGGUCAGGCAUGAUCGUGAAGUCAGGUCAGGCUUGAUUGUGUUUGUCAUAUAUCAUCAUGCCUAGCAGUGUAGUGUCGUGUGUGUGUGUGUGUGUGUGUGUGUGUGUGUGUGUGUGUGUUUGUGUGAAUGUUUAAUAAAGACUUCCAGAAAGGUGGCUAGGUGACUGGAGGAAGCUCAACCUGCUUUGGGCUGCCCCUGUCAUAGGUCUGCUCUUACUGUGGCUGGCUCACUGCAAGACUUAACAAUCUCCCCCUCCAUUCCCUCUCCCUCAGGCUACUCAAUGUUCCAGGGGACUCUACGGUAGCACUGUGGGUAGUAUUUGUGGCCUCGCACUCUACUUUGUGUGUGCACGUAUCUGUGUAAAAUAAGAGGAUAGACUAGGGUGCUGCUAGCCUUGUGCACCUGGGGUGCAGCCCGCAGGCUUAGGCACCUUAUUCCAGGAUUUCUCAACCUUGGCACUAUCAGUACUUUGAGCUGGAUAAUUGGUUUUGCCGUUCUACAUGUUGAAAUAUAUUUAGCAGCAUCCUUGACUUGUGUUCACUAGAUUCCAAUAGGACAAACCCUCCCCCUCACAAUAGUGGCAACCAGAUGUCUCUGAAGUACAAAAUCGCCCCUGUUGAGAAUCACUACCUCCAUCCCAAGAGCCAACCCAGUGAUUUAACCCUGGUUGGGGGGAAAAAAUCACACCCUUAAAGUGACUGGGAGGGGAUGCAUCUUCUGUCAGUCUAAGCUUCUCCAAUCUCAGUCAUAUGUUUCAGGGAGCCUGACUCCUCUUAAUUAACUGCCUGCUGCAUUGUGAAUUGGCAUCUUCUCUGUUUUCUGCACAACCUCCUCCUUUACGCCCAGAUCAACAUGUUCGUUUCUAAAAGUCAACAGAUUUCAAAAAAAAACUAUUAAGAAAUAGGGCCUUGAGCAACCUGAGAGUCCUGUACGGUAUUUUUCUAUAAAACGUGGGGGAAUUUAUUCCAUAAAAUCUCUCAGACAGCUUCUCUUUUAGAGUUAAGCUUUCAAUUCUACAAAUGAUAACCACAUCCUUAAAAAAAAAAAAGGUUGUAAAUAAUACACGCCAGAAAUGAUAAUUUUUUCUUCCAUUUAAAAUAUUUAGAUCUCUGAAUUGAGUCAUUUGUAUUUUGAAGCCAUUUCCUGUUGGUUCCAGAGUUUAUGUUUUAUGACAGGAUAAAAGAACAUGUUUUAUUUAAAUGUAUCAAGCAGACAUCAGUUUGGUUAGACUCACCAACUUUUCCAAAACAAAUUCUCUCAAACAGUGUUGGUGAGCUGUCCCAGGCCUGGUUUUGUUGGUAAAGUUCCUUGUGUUACGAUGCAGCUCAGCUUUUAAAGGGUUCUAGAAGAAAAAUAAAGGUUCGUGGUUGAAGGAAUGAACGGAUUCUGAGAAUCUAUUCAAUCAGUAGCAGGCCCAUAAAAUCCUGGUAGGCAACUAAAAAUGAAAAAAAAAAAUAGGAACUAAAAACACCUCCUUCUUCCAGACAAUGGAUCUUUCUAUGUUUUGAUGGGGAUGGACACUUCCGCCCAGCAAGCACAUUAUUAUCUAUCUCAAUAAAGACAGUGAUUUUGAAUGUUGGGUUUAUAAUUUGUUCACGUUUAGUUUUGUAGGCACAGAACGGUCACAAAAGCAUGCAGAUUAGCUGAUAUCCACAUAAGUGACCUGAUCCCAUUUAACUUGAGCAUUGAGGUCUGGGAGAACAUUCACAUGGCCUAGGAGAAGAGCCCAGAUUUGAGGAUUCUGUGGGGUCUGAGGAACAAUGAGUCUCCGGCUUCUCUGGUCAGACAUGCACAGGAGUGUUUGUCCUUCUGCCCCAACCCCAGGUUCUCUUAACCAAGGAUUUGUACCUUUGUUGUAAACACAGUAUUAGAAAAAAAAAAAGUCACUAAAGAAAUUAAUACCGUGCAUAUUCUAGAUCACAGCUGCUUUGUUAUGUAUGUCUAAUGGCGGUGAGAUUUUAAAUAAAUGAUACCAUCACUGGUAACCCAUAGGCAUUGUCCUGCCGUUUAAAGGAACUUCAUUCAAUUGGGAGAAAAAAAAAAACUGACCCAGUUCAUCACAACUAUUUUUAGAGAAUGAUAAACUGAAAAGCCUUGAGAUACGAAAUUUAGUCCUAAAUCUUGUGACAAAAAGGGAAAAGCCACAAAAUUAAUACCAUGAUCUAAAGAUGGAAGUGACUUGAUUGUAAUAAUAAGAGAUGGAAGAGAAAACACAAGCUAGAGAGACACAAGCUAAAGAGCUAGAGAAACACAAGCUAGAGAGCUAGAGAAACACAAGCUACAAAGGGGAGCCUUAGUGUCUUCCUUUCCCAAAGGAGAACAGUGAAAAUGAGUCAAGAGCUUUGGUUUUUAGCUUAAUUUUCCAGGCCUAUCUGGGACUCAUUGGUUGUGUGUUUCAGAUGAGAGAUACUGGCCAGCUACUGUACUCAGUGAGGUGUGGGUAUCACAAAAAGGCAUCCUGAAGCUGCCCACCGAAGUCAGGCAUGAUACAGUUCCUUCUGACAUGCCAGUGUAGUACUUGGAGCCAACUGUGGUAAAAAGUAUUGCAAACUCUUGGGGGGUGGGGGGAGACUCAUUAAACCGUGUUGAGACACUUUGGAAAAAUUUAGUGUCUGCUCAAGCCAGUUCUGAAAUAUUCAUACAAGGGAUAAAUAGUGUGUGUGUGUGUGUGUAUGUGUGAGUAUGUGUAUGUGUGUGUCAGUGGGUCUUUAUAACUGAGUGUGUCUGUGUCACUGUGAUGUGUGUGUGUGGUGUGUGGGUGGGUGUGUAUGGGUGUGUGUGUGUGUGGUGUGUGUGUGUUCGUAAUGGACUGAUCUAAAACUUCUGAGCUCAAGGGACCCACUGCCUCAGCCUUUUUUCCAGUCACUUGGAAUAUAGGUGCUAUUAGAAACAAGAGUUAAAUUGUUUUAAAUCAUGAAUUAAUUGAAAGCCAGAGUAAAUAAAUUCUUAUUUUUAGAAAGAAAAUUACUUCCUAAAUAAAAAUAAAUAAAUAAAUAUUGAGUUGACUUGACUAUGUAAAGCUUUUCCCCAAAAAUGUUCAAAGAAUAGACGAAUAAGGAGGAAAGGGAAUAAAUUCAUCCACAACAUAUAUUCAAAAAGAUUAGAAUGAUGAUGUAUAAGAAACUUAGAAUCAAUAAAAUGAACCCUCUAAUUAAAGGUCAGAUUUGAUGAAAAUUAACAUAGGAGAGAAUUAGAAAUCUUUACCCUUCAAAAACUGGAGAAACUGAAGAAAAGGUAAGCCAGGCAUAGUGACACUGAUACAAACCUUUAAUCCCAGCUCUUGGGGAACAGAGAUAGGAUCUCCAUGAGUUCAAGGCCAGACUGAGUUUCAGAAUGGCCAGGACUAUAGACCCUGACUCAAAAAAAAAAAAAGAUAGAUAGAUAAAUGAUAAAAUAUAUAAAUGAUUGGAUAAAUAAAUACUGAACAGAAGGUAAUACAAAUAAAAUAUUCCAUGCAAUUAUUUCCCAGCCUUUGUCAGUAAUUAAGCAUGUUUCUUUUGGUAAAUUUGGUUUAAUAAAGGACACUGUUGCUGAGGAGACCGCAUGCUGGAAAACAAUUUAUAAAAGAUAAUUAGGUGGUAUGUAUCAACAUCUUAACAAUAUUUAUAUCCUUUGACACUUUAGUCCUACCUCAGGAAUUUACGUUAAGAAAAUAGAAAGCAUCAAAUGCAAAAGGGUUUGCAUAAAAAGGUAACUAUCAUCUUCUCACUUUGGAAAUGCCAACGGUAAGUUCUACAUUGAAAAUACGUAACAGAGAUAGGGUUUUUGACGCUAUUUAUCUCUCCCUCUCAAGGGAGACUCAGUGUCCAAAUGGAGCAAGAGGGAGAUAGCCCAAAUGGUAGUUUGUUGACCAAGCUUAAAGACCUAAACUCAGAUCCCAGUAGUAUGUCAAGGUCCUGGUCCUAUAACCCAAGUGCUCGCCCAGCAAAGAGAGGACAUUCCCUGGGGCUCAUUGGUCAGCCUACCAGUCCAGCCAAUCUGUGCACUUCAGAUUCAGGGAGAUCUCAGUGCAAUAGGUAGGUUUGUUGUAAGUGAUGGUACACACCUUUAACCCAGCCCUAGGGAGGCAGAGGCACAUGCUUCUCUGUGAAUUUCAGGCCAGCCUGGUCUAUUCAGUGAGCUCCAGGACAGCCAGUAUCACAUAGAGAGAUCCUAUCCUAUCUCAAUAAUAAUAAUAAUAAUAAUAAUAAUAAUAAUAAUAAUAAUAAUAAUAAUAAUAAUAAUGUUAUAGUGGAGAGCAACAGAGGAAAACAUUGUCAAUCAGAAAAUUUAUUCUCCCUCUUCCCCUCUCCCUCUCCCCCUCCCUCUCCCCCUCCCCUCCCCUCCCCCUCCUUCUCUCUCUCUCUCUCUCUCUCUCUCUCUCUCUCUCUCUCUCUCUCUCUCUCUGAGUAGCAGGCACACCCAGGCUACUGAUACCAUCUCACAAUAUAAAGACUACACCUUCUGUACAUUUGAAAUGUACUCUCUGGUCUUUCUUUCAGGGUCCCUGUGUUCCGAUCAUUCUAUAGCAUUACUUUAAUAAGCAGAAAUGAUAAACAUUAUAAAAAUAGAAAUGCACACAUUUUCAAAAGAUCUGACAGUCAUGGAACAGCAUCUCACUGGGGAGGAGUGCAUAUGGAUUUAUAUUUGUGACUUGGGAAGUGUUACUUUGGUGGUAGUGGUGGGGUGUGUGUGUGUGUGUGUGUGUUUGUGUCUGUGUGUGUGUAUAUGUGUGUUUGUGUCUGUGCCUGUGUCUGUGGUGUGUGUGUGUGUGGUUUCUAUGUAUGUCUGUGUCUGUGUGGUGUGUGUGUGUCUGCAUGUGUGUCUGUGUGUGUGUCUGUGUGUAUCUAUGUGUGUGUGUGUGGUGUCUAUGUGUGUCUGUGUCUGUGUGGUGUGUGUGUGUUUGCAUGUGUGUCUGUGUGUGUGUCUGUGUGUAUCUGUGUGUGUGUGUGGUGUCUAUGUGUGUCUGUGUCUGUGUGGUGUGUGUGUAUAUUUGUUUGUGUCUGUGUAUGUCUGUGUGUGUGUGGUGUGUAUGUGUGUGUGUCUGUGUGUGUGUGUCUGUGUGUGUGUCUGUGUCUGUGUGUGUGUCUUUGUGUGUGUGUUCCUAGCUCUCCUUUGAGAAGGACAUUUUCCCCAAGGAUCUGCCUCCUUUGCUCCUUUGCCUGCACUUUUGACUUCCCCUUUGCAACUCUGAAGGCUAGAUUCCCCCCAGGCUUUUCUGAGGUCGUAAGUCUGAAGUUCCUGGAGUUUUUAACUUACUUAACUAUGGUUAAUGUCUCUUCAUUGUCUAGAUGUGGGCUUCAAAAGCCAGUCCCUAGAGUCCCUCAGAUAAACGUCGUUAGGAGGAUCAAAUCAAUUUCCUCAUCAAAUUAAACAAAUGCAUUUCAAAUUUCACCGUGGUAGACUCUGAAUCAAGGUGGCUUUUCAUUUUUAGAGAAUAUUCCUUUUCCUGAUUUCUCUCUGAGUGCGCUAUGAGGACAUUGUCACAGAUAAGAAAUCAAAUUAAUUUUCUAAGGCCUAAUGUGGCCCCAAUUCUACCCAUAUCUAAAAUGCAGCCACUUCCUUUUUAUUAACCUACUUUUUUUUUUUUGAAUGAAACUCCAGAGAGCAGCUACUAAGGUUAAUUACAUAUAGUGGAGAACUGGCCAUGUGACCUUAUGCAAGUAACUUCAGAUUUCAUAGCCUCCUUUUUUCUCCUCUGGUGUGGAACCAGGACUGGGCUCUCUUGGAGACCUGUCAGUUCUGAAAUCCCAGACCUUAUUUGGAAUUCCUGCAUUUGCCAUUUCUGAGUGAAGAGCUCAAGAUUUCCAGGGACUCACAGAGAGCCUUUUGGACCCAGCAGGAUGAAGGUGUGUGGCCACAGGAGGAGGCUAAGGUAGCCUGGCCAAGUCCAAAUCAUGCGGGCCUCACCAGCCAAGGAAUGGGAUUCAAUCAAAUAGGUUAGCUGGAGGAAGUAAGUUCUUUAGCUCUACACAGACAUUCACAUUCUGUUGUUACCAAGACAUUUGUCUUAAUGUGGUUUUGUUGGUGGUGUUUAAAACCAUGAUUCAAGGGGCCGGGACAUACCACAGUGCUUGUCUAGCAUUUCCAAAGACCCAGGUUCAACCCCAACAACACAGUAUAUGAACAAAUGAAAGAUACAAAGUAUACAAGGACACAAGGACAGACUGCAGUGAAGCAAGCACAAAGAACCAGUUUCCUCUCGUUGCCAGCUGCCAUGUAUCAGUUGAGAAAUGUUCUAGAAAUAGGAACAAUUACAUGUGUUUUCUUUUGCUUUGUCACAACUGGCAAUGUAAUAUACGUUGGGCUUCUGUGCUUUUUGCUUUUAAUUAAUGUCACAAUGUAUCUUGAUGCUCACCAAUCACCCUUUGAUAAACAGUCUUUUCUGUUACAAUUGUUACUCUCAAGACUUAUUUUUACUGUGUCCCUCUGUUAGGGGACUUGGAAGCGUCCAGAGAUCUCGCUCUGGCCAUAUCCCUGCCUUUUCUCCUUGGAAAAGUUUGUCCCCAAAACAUGCAUAGCUUUUCAAGGUUUCACAGCUAGUUAAAGCAAGGCUGGGGCCAGAAUUUGUUUCUCCAAACCACCUCUAGGUCCCAUUUUACUCUCUGAUUAUAUGAAAUUAAACACGUUGUAAUUAAAAAUGCUUUCUGAAGUGGUAUGCCUUCUAUGACUCAAGUCUUUAGUUUUGUUUUUUUAUUUUUGAACUAGCAUGUAUUCACUAGCGUGAACUACUGAAUUUACAGAGCUAUGCAUGAAGAUGUUGCCAGUGGUAAUACAGAGAUUGUGUCAGUACAAAUAAUCUUUUUACCUUGUGUAUGUGGAGGAGUUCUCGUAUUUGUGCAUAUACAUACAAGUGCAUGGACUACAGAUUGAACUUGGGGCUUUGGGCAUGCUGGGUAAGCUCUCAACUACAAAGCCACGUCCCUCAACUUUUUGUUUGUUAUGACAGGGACUCACCAUAUAGCCUUGACUGGCUUAUAGUUCACUAUGUAGACAAACUCACAGCUUCCCAAGUGCUGGGACUAAAGGUACAUGCCUCCACCACCUGUCCCAAAUCUCUCCCUACCCCUGUUUGUCAAGAUCAUCCUGGAACUAUCUCUGUAGACCAGGCUGGCCCCAAAGUCACAGAGAUCUACCUGCCUCUGACUCCUAGUGCUAGGACAAAAGGGAUAUGCCACCACCACCCCAAACCCCUCUUUUUAAUAGAAACUUUAUUGAACUAUAAUUACCUCUUAAAUUUAUUUGAAAUCAUGUAUAUGUCUGUUUGUGUAUAGGCAUAUGCACAUAUGUGCAGGAGCCCAUAGUAGCCAGAGGCAAUGGAUCUGCCAAAGCUAGAGUUCAAGUCAUUGUGAGCUGUAUGACACGGCUGCUGGGAACGUAACUCUGGCCUUCUGGGAGAGCCAUGCAUGUUCUUAACCACUGAGCCAUCUUUUUGUAUUAUAAACACUGCCCAUUUCAAGUGUACAGUUUAAAUAGUUCCUUCAAAGACUUGAGCAAUCAUCAGAGCAGACCAAUUUUAAACCAUCUUCAUUGCCUCAAAAUGAAACGCUGUACACACCAGCGGUCUCUUACUGUAUACUCUUUCUUUGGUUUAUAUUUUUAAUUUUUUCAUAAGUUAUUAGUCAUAUGAAUAGACAAAUGUGUUGAAAAUAAAAAGUAAAAUCAUGCCAUAACCACUUUAAAAAUAAAUAUUGAGAAAAGUAUUCCUGUUUUUAAAUUACUUUAUUUUGUAUGUGUGGGUGUUUUGUCUGCAUGCGUGUCUGUAUACCUCACGCCUGCAGUGCCUGCAGAGGCCAAAAGAGUGUGUCAGAUUCCCCUGGGACUGGCAAUAUAGUUCUUUGUAAUCCACGCUGUGGGUGUCAGGAUCAAACCUAGGUUCUCUGGAUUGGGAGCCAGGGUUCUAAGCCCCUGAGGUAUCUCUCCAGUUGCAAAGAAGAGUUCAUAAAAUGGUACAUAGUUUCUCUUAGUUUCUUGGUUGUACUCUGAGUGUUUUUCCAAGUCCUUAAGUAUUCUCUGAGGGUGUGACUAAGCUCUGUGGCUACACAGCUUUUGGCCACAUCUCAUAAUUUCUUUAGGCUAGAAUCCCAAGAGUAGAAACCCUGACGAUAUUUCUAAUCGCAAAGUAUCAGAUACCUUUCCAUUAAUGUUCCGGUCUCAUAGCACUUUACUUUUUGGUUUUUGAUGGGUUGGUUUUCCUUGUUGUCUCAUUGUGUUUUGUUUUUGAGUCAGGAUGUUUCUAUAUAGCCCUGACUCGCUUGCUUCUCACUGGGAAGAACAAGCUGAACUCAAACUUACAGUAAUCUUCCCUCUUUGACUUCUAAAUGCCGGAAUGACAGAUGUCUUCCACUGUGCUUUUUACACUGCUGUCCCCAACCCUUGUCCAAUCCUUGCCAAUUGGGAAUUUUUAAAGUUAACUGUUUUGAGCUGAGUGGUGUUUGUAGCAGAGUUGUGUGGCACCUACUGGCCACAGGUGAACCCUGAGAUGCAAUCUCUAGCACCACAAACAUCCCCCCAAAUUGUUUUAGUUUUAAAUUCAUUUGAUUAUUAUUAAUGACUGGACUUUUUCAUACAUGCAUUAAUCUUUCUCUAGUUUUAUGAUUCCCCUUCAAUUAAUGUCCUUUGCCUAUUCUGUUUUGGUAUUACUGUUACUUUUAGAGAGGAUGUUGAGGUGUUUUUGUUGUUGUUGUUGUCUCUCCUUGCUUGCUAAGUAAGAACAAGGUAAAAAUUCUAAUCUGCUGAUACUUUUGGAUAUUAGAUUGGUUCUUCACCCUCAGAGUGGGACUGUCACCUUCCUUGAGGAGUAUUUUCUAUCAUGUUGAAGAAACAUCAAAGAAAGGAAGAAGACCAUUUGCAAAGUUCCUUACAUUUGGAUAAAACAACUAUAUGUCUAUUUUAUUGCAAGUUCCUAAAAAAUAAUCCCUGCUGCCCAUAAUAGGGAAACUGUAUUAAAUGAAGUUUGGUUUUCCUAAGUAGCGUGAUAAUUUGUGUUUAAUUUAAUUCAGCUACCUAUACAGAAGGUAACCCCAGUCUUGAGCCAAAUAGUGCCCAAAUAAAAAAAUGCACCAAUCUUAAUUCCCUUUCCUCUUAGACAAAUCUGAGUUUUUAAAACUGAUGGGUGUGUUGGCUCAGUUCCUCCUAGCCCACCACAAACAGCGCAGGUACCCUAGCAGCUAACACAGGGACCCAAUCUGGAAUGAAGGAAACAAAUGUCUCCCUCUUUUAAAAGUUGAGAGUGUUAUUGACCUGUUCAAAGAUAGAGUUUCAAGAUGUGAACUCUGAAAGUACUCUGGAGAAGAGGCUAGGUAUGGAAAUUGAAUACCCACCUAGCACCUGGGUAGCAAGGAUUGGUCCUGCAUAUUUGGUUUAGAAGGAAAGGAAAAUGUAAUUUAUUUAAGAAAAUGACCAUCAAAAAAUUGCCACCACCACCACCCCCCACCACCCAAUACCUCCAUGGGAGGUCCAUGGGAGAAGCUUCCUCCAUGUUCAGAAGAGCUUGUGGUUCCUGUUGAAAAUUUAAGUGUAGAUUUGAGGACAACUCAGGUGUUUAUCAGUUUCCCAGAGAGUCUUGAGUAGUGACAGGUACUUGAGAUCCCAGCGUGUGGGAGGUAGAGGCAGGAGGAUGAGGAUCCCAAGGCCCUCUUUCUGAGCUACAUAGCCAGUUGGAAGAUCCCUGGGCUGUGGGAGACCUGUCUCAGAAAUGACUAAAAAUAAACAGAUUUGCAUCAAGAAUCAUUGGCUUCCACAUGACUCUCAUCGACUUAGGUGUUGGGCAUUGGGAACAAUACUCAGAACAGUCUUAAGAGAUACUUGAUUUUUCAGAAUAAAGAAAAAAAAGAGCAUUAUCACCACCAUGAAACCUUUGGAACAAAAACAAAAUAAUAAGAAAGAUUUAGGACUAAUUUAAUAUAACCUCUACCAUUUUUUUUCCAUUUCAAGAAAUCAAUGAUUAGAAUAGAAAACACUGGAUGAGUGGUUUUAGUCUAGUCCCAGCAUAGUUGGGUAUAUCCCUGUGAGUCCCAGGACAGCCUGAUCUACAUGAUGAAUUCUAGCCAGGGCUAUACAGUGAGACCCAGUCUCAGUAGAAGAAAGAAAAGAAAGAAGAAAAAGAAAGAAAAAUAAAAAGAAAGGUAAUGUUUAAUAAAAGUUUCAAACACACACAUUGUAACACGUAAAUGUAACAAUACUGGUCUUAAAUCAAGCAAAAGUUUCAAACACACACAUUGUAACACAUAAAUGCAACAAUACUGGUCUUCCAUCAAGCCUUCCUAAGUUUCAAUAAUGGUAAGCUUCAUGUGAAAGUAAACAGAUUGCUAAUAUAUACAAAUGCACUAAAUAUUAAAUAAGAUCGAGCAUUUAAAAAACAGAGAACUUCUGAAGCAAUCUGUAGGUUGUAUUGACUGAUGGUGUUCUACUGUAGCCAAGCAGGGGAUAUAAUUUGUUGGUGAUACACGGUGUAACUGAAAACAGGUACUCUGGGAAAUUUGCUGCUUCUUCUAUGUGCCCAGAAAGCAGGAUGUUAGGGAUGUUGAUGAUACAGUCACAGCAGGGAGGGGCGCAUGCUGAGAUGUCCAGGUUCUCAGGUCCCCAGGACAGAGACUAGCAGGAGCACAGGAUGAGGUCCUAGAAAAGUUUAUUUAAAAAAAGAAAAAGGCACUCCAAGAAUGAAGUGGAUAGGUGAACUGGGAAAAGGCGUAGCUCAAAAAAGCAGAACCAGGCAUCAUGAGACCCUUUUACAUCAUCGCUCAACAUCCACCUAUUUAUCUCUGCCCUUUUUAAAAAUUUUUUUCGUGUAUAUUUUAUAUAUUUACAUUUCAAAUGUUAUCUCCCACUCUCCCAUACCCCCUCCCCACUCCCCCUGCUUCUAUGAGGGUGCUCCCACUCCCACCCACCCACUCUCUGCCCUUUCUUAAACAUGCUCUGUCUAUAGUAUGUACAGGUAGGACAAGUGAAGAAAGAUUUCCAGUCUGGUUUUGUUGACUUGGUUCUUUCAUAUAUUAAUUUUGACAUCUUACUCCAUAUCCCUAUCCGGUCGCGCAGGAAGCUGGUCAGUGAGGGCAGACAGUUCAACCUGCCUUCUCUUAUCAUCCCUCAAAGUCCCCAGAGAAGACGGGAGAAGCAAAAAACCUGAACCCACAUCAGUUGCUUUCUUGACUUUAAUGGAAUCAUCCAGAAACGUUUUUAAAUUAGCUAAUAGUUUUCCUUUCUGUUCUUUAUUCUUCCUCCCCCUUCCUCCUGCCCUCCUUCCUGUAUAAACUUGCCAAAGGAUUAUUUUAAAACACAACUUCCUGACAGAAAAGGGGACAGCUUUGGAUACACUCCUGCCCCGACCCCUCUUCCCCAGGGUCCUCUAUCACUUCUUGGUGGUUUUCAGUCCUUAGAUAUAUCUGACAAGAGUUUAAAAUAUCUGUUACUGAGAAUUAGUUAAACAGAUUCUGUAUGAUCGCUAAUGAAUUUUCUUAGGGAAGUGGGGGAAAAAAGGGCCACAUUGUUUUGGAAAACAUGUUUUAAAAAUAAUUUUAUAGACUGCAGAUUUUGUAAACGAUCAUGCGGAUUGUUGAGAGGGGGUUCCCAACCUUGUUAAUGUCCCCUUAGCAUUAGGCUUUUGUUCCCCAGC